UACGAAGGGGGCUAGCGUUGCUCGGAAUCACUGGGCGUAAAGCGCACGUAGGCGGACUCUUAAGUCAGGGGUGAAAUCCUGGAGCUCAACUCCAGAACUGCCUUUGAUACUGGGAGUCUUGAGUUCGGGAUAGGUGAGUGGAACUGCGAGUGUAGAGGUGAAAUUCGUAGAUAUUCGCAAGAACACCAGUGGCGAAGGCGGCUCACUGGCCCGAUACUGACGCUGAGGUGCGAAAGCGUGGGGAGCAAACAGG
rnacentral:rRNA from 1 species